UCCUAGACACAACCUAUCAGUGGACAACAUAUUACAAUACAAGUAGGUGAUUGUUUGUGCUAAUGGCUAAUGAACAGAUUUUCUUACUGGCAGCCCUAUUCUUGGACCAAAGACAGGGACAUGGAGAGGGGAGAGCAAGCUCAUUUUUUCUAUUCUCACCCCUGCAGCAACACAGCCCACCAACCCAAGGGCCAUCACCCACCAGGCACCAUUCAUGUUUAUUUCUGAUACAGCUUUUGUUCUUUCCCAAGAGCCCUGUUAAAGUUGAUGUUGCAUUAGA